rnacentral:tRNA from 1 species
UGCCCUGUGGUGAAAUUGGCAUCCAUGUCGCUCUUUGAAAGCGAAGUUCCAGGUUCAAACCCUGGCGGGGCAG